CCUUUGGAGCGUUAUAUCAAACGAAAGUAGUCUUAGUAAAAACUAAUACAAAAUCGGACGUGUUGAAUUAGGAA
rnacentral:ncRNA from 1 species